rnacentral:lncRNA from 1 species
UCCAUUCCCUCCCCGAGGCCGUGCUCGCUAGCUGCUGCAAUUGAAAGCACCAGCUGAUGACCACCAAACGUUAGCGCACGCAGACAAUUUAACAGCUUCAGAGUGCCCAGACGUAUUAGGCCCUGCUCGCUAGCGUCCGGACCAUCACAGACGACACCUGCGAGGAGCGAUGGAGACCGUCGCGGCGGCGAGCUACGCCGGCAGGGCCACCAGCGCCACCCGCUCCCCGACAUGCUGCGCGGCCAUGUCCUUCUCGCAGUCUUACAGGCCUAAGGUACGGCACUCGUUUUCGCUUCACUGAGAGUAGCGGCUCGUCACGCAGCACGUGCAGAUAAGAUUUUGCUGAUGGCUACUGUUGUGUCGCGUACGCACGGCAGGCGUCCAGGCCGCCGACCACGUUCUACGGCGAGUCGGUGCGGGUGAGCACGGCACGGCCGCUCUCGGCGAGGCAGUCCAAGGCGGCGAGCCGCGCGGCGCUCAACACCCGGUGCGAGAUCGGGGACAGUCUGGUGCGUCGUGUGCAUCGAUCGUCAGUAUAAGCUGUGUGCGCGCCGGUGCGCCGUGCCAUGCUAGGAGAAACCUGACGCUGACCGCGUGCUGGGUCUGUGGCUGUGUGUGUUGGGGUGUGGUGUGGCAGGAGGAGUUCCUGACCAAGGCGACGCCGGACAAGAACCUCAUCAGGCUGCUCACUUGCAUGGGGGAAGCCAUGAGGACGAUCGCCUUCAAGGUCCGGACGGCGUCCUGCGGCGGCACGGCCUGCGUCAACUCCUUCGGCGACGAGCAGCUCGCCGUCGACAUGCUCGCCAACAAGCUCCUCUUCGAUGUGUGAAACGAGUGAUCUCGCGCUGCAUAUGUCUGUCUCGCACCGAAAAAUUCGCUCAUGCCCGUUCUCUCUGCCUGCAGGCUUUGGAGUACUCCCAUGUGUGCAAGUAUGCCUGCUCUGAGGAGGUCCCCGAGCUGCAAGACAUGGGUGGCCCAGUCGAAGGUACUGCGAGCUGGAUUGGUUUGUUGCCAAAAUUUUGGCAAGCCAAUUUUUUACCACCGUUUGGUUCACAUUUAUCUUACUAAAUUAUUGGCAAGUUUUUCCCAACUUUUGGCAUGCCAAAUUUUUUGCAACAAACCAAUGAGGCAGUGCCAUUUCUUCCCUCACUGUACAUGACCAAAGCUUCCAGCAUUUGUAACAUGACAAAACAACAAUAGAAAACGAGAGACCGGCUACUACCCCCAAUAUGUUUUUACCUCAACUAGAGAGUUGCAGGUUUGCAGUGCAGUGCUCAGCGCUGCUAUUACUCAGUUCUUCUGCAUCUUCAGAACACUGUAAAUAAAUGAAAUUGCAAAUCAACAGCAAUAUUCCUUACCAAAUUAGCAUUCUGUCUUCUUGGAUUCUAGUUUCAGAUGUAUGCGCUGAUCUGUCUAAACCUGCCACCUUACCCCAACAACUAGGGAUAUUCUCGUUUUGACCGUAGAAAUGCAGAAGGAAAAAUAAGGAAGUAAGGCUUUGUGAUUCAGACCGGCUAAACUUCUCAUCACAUCUCGCAGGUGGUUUCAGCGUUGCGUUCGAUCCCCUUGACGGUUCCAGCAUUGUCGACACGAACUUCACCGUCGGAACCAUCUUCGGCGUCUGGCCCGGCGACAAGCUGACUGGAGUCACCGGCGGCGACCAGGUCGCCGCUGCGAUGGGCAUCUACGGCCCUCGCACGACCUACGUUAUCGCCCUCAAGGACUGCCCUGGGACACACGAGUUCCUCCUCCUCGACGAAGGUGACCCUGAAUGUGCAAUCAACAAUGACUGAGCAAUUGCAGAGUUGCAGUGUGUGAUGCAAGUAUAAUCAAGAUAUUCAUGAACGUUGCAGGCAAAUGGCAGCAUGUCAAGGACACCACGUCCAUUGGGGAGGGGAAGAUGUUCUCUCCUGGUAAUUUGAGAGCAACGUUUGACAACCCUGACUACGACAAGGUGUACUCUCUUAGCAGUCAUUACUGCUUUUUUUACUUUCUUCAAAUAGAUCUCGAUCACCUGUCUAAUUGAGUAUCUACAGUAACAUCUUUUCGUCAGUCUGACUUGUGCAAAAAUGUGAUCUUUGCAGCUCAUCAACUACUACGUCAAGGAGAAGUACACAUUGCGUUACACCGGAGGAAUGGUUCCUGAUGUCAACCAGGUAUAUGUCAAAAAAAUCCUUAGCUUCUGCAAGUAUGGUUCGCACCUUACAAUGCACGAACAUAUUUCUUCCUCAAACCGAGCAAAAAUCAUCAGAGAGACUUCUCUCAAUUCUCAAAUGACAUGGCAACAGCCAACAGUUCAUACUCAUUAUUCAGUACUACUACACAUUCCAACACUGAUCAGUGACAUGAUCAAACUGUCAAUCAAUUCUACAAUUUUCCCACCAAAAGAGUCCAUUUUUUUCUGACAAGGCAAAGCAAACUUUUGAGAACAAGAAUUUGGUUUGGUGUGUGCCAGUAAAUGCCUGGAACUGUAGUGUUACUGCAAGCCCAUGCUAGUGACUGUGUUGAGCAUUGAGCUGUACCUGCAUCUGCUUUAAGCAAGGCCACGCCAACACAGCAAUUCCCUACAGUGAACCAAGUUCACUUUAGGUCCCUUUUCCAGUGCUACUUUCAGUGUACAGAACUUACGUGACCAGCAUGCAUGAUGCAUUGAUGCCUGUGAUCGAACGAUGACGCAGAUCAUAGUGAAGGAGAAGGGCAUCUUCACCAACGUGACGUCCCCGUCCGCCAAGGCCAAGCUGCGGCUCCUCUUCGAGGUGGCGCCGCUCGGCUUCUUGAUGGAGAAGGCCGGCGGGCACAGCAGCGACGGCAAGCAGUCGGUGCUGGACAAGGUGAUCAACGAGCUCGACGAGCGCACCCAGGUGGCCUACGGCUCCAAGAACGAGAUCAUCCGGUUCGAGGAGACCCUCUACGGCUCGUCCAGGCUCACCGCCGGCGCCACCGUCGGCGCCGCCGCAUAAGUUUUGCUGCGAUAUAGUAUGACAUAAUUAAAUGUGCAAGCCGUGUCACCAUUGAGAAUCCAGUUGGUGACCGACGCGGCGACACGUAUACAGAUGGCUUGCAGA